rnacentral:rRNA from 1 species
GANACUCGUCAGUGGCGGACGGGUGAGUAACGCGUAGGAAUCUAUCCUUGAAUGGGGGACAACCGUGGGAAACUACGGCUAAUACCGCAUGAUGCCUGAGGGCCAAAGACGAAAGUCGUUUGAGGAGGAGCCUGCGUCUGAUUAGGUAGUUGGUGGGGUAAAGGCCUACCAAGCCCUACGAUCAGUAGCUGGUCUGAGAGGAUGAUCAGCCACAUUGGGACUGAGACACGGCCCAAACUCCUACGGGAGGCAGCAGUGGGGAAUAUUGGACAAUGGGCGCAAGCCUGAUCCAGCAAUGCCGCGUGGGUGAAGAAGGUCUUCGGAUUGUAAAGCCCUUUGGCGAGGACGAUGAUGACGGUACCCGCAGAAUAAGCUCCGGCUAACUUCGUG